UACGUAGGGGGCUAGCGUUGUCCGGAAUCAUUGGGCGUAAAGCGCGUGUAGGCGGCCCGGUAAGUCCGCUGUGAAAGUCGGGGGCUCAACCCUCGGAUGCCGGUGGAUACUGUCGGGCUCGAGUACGGAAGAGGCGAGUGGAAUUCCUGGUGGUAGCGGUGAAAUGCGCAGAUAUCAGGAGGAACACCGAUUGUCGAAAGGCAGCUCGCUGGGACGUGACUGACGCUGAGAACGCGAAAGCGUGGGGAGCAAACAGG
rnacentral:rRNA from 1 species